CACGUAGGGGGCGAGCGUUGUCCGGAUUUAUUGGGCGUAAAGAGCUCGUAGGCGGCUAAGUAAGUCGGGUGUGAAAACUCCAGGCUCAACCUGGAGACGCCACCCGAUACUGCUUUGGCUAGAGUCCGGUAGGGGAGCAUGGAAUUCCUGGUGUAGCGGUGAAAUGCGCAGAUAUCAGGAGGAACACCGGUGGUGCAGACGGCUCUCUGGACCGUAACUGACGCUGAGACACGAAAGCGUGGGUAGCAAACAGG
rnacentral:rRNA from 1 species